GUGAGUGCGGGAGACUUUAAGUACUUACGGCCACUGGCCACUAGAUGGCAGGAUAAUUCCGGUUUGAGUCAGGGAAAGCCUGCCACAAUCCAUUGUCCUUUGAGGAAAGCUGCGCUUCUUUAUGGCUGGACUGGGAUUGGGGGCAAGACAUGUUCACUAUUUCACGCCAGGGAUACAGGGGGCUUCCAGGAGCAUCUGGAGUCAGGGCAAUGACAGCGGCUACCAAUAGUCCAGGACGGUGAUCACUUUUUAAAGGACAGAUCUCACAGCCUGAAGACAACAGGCCAGGCCUCUCUGCAGCUAUCUGUGGGACCAAAAGUUAAGAAGCUAGCUGUCUGUGCUGUGGCCUCCGCGGGUAUUCUCUGAUUAAUGGUUCUGACCAGUAUUUGGCUCCUCCAUCCUCUUUGUCAUGGAUGCUAUGUUGAACUAAUUUAUAUGGUAUGAAAUGCACCCCCCCAUUUCCUCAAAACUUACAUAGAAAGCUCAUAUUUUCACUGUUUGUAGGAUUACUUUGGAGACGUUCUCUGAAGAGGCUCAUCUGCCCCCACCGAUGCCUCUCCUGGCAGUUUCUCUCUCUCUCUCUCUCUCUCUCUCUCUCUCUCUCUCUCUCUCUCACUCUCUCUCUCUCUCUCUCGUUCUGGGACUUAAAGGCAUGUGCUACCAUCGCCCGGCUUUAUUCUUUUAAAAUAUAUUUAUUUUAUGUGUAUGUGUGUGUGUGUGUGUGCCUACAUAUAUGUAUGUACACCACAUGUAUCAGGAGCUCAUGGAGGCCAGAAGACGGUGUCAGAUCCCCUGGAACUGGAGUUACAAGUUGUUGUGAGCCUACAUGUAGGUGCUGGGAAUUGAACCUGGGUCCUCUGCAAUAGUGGAUCUAGAAUCUCCAUGGAAAUAAAUCUGUGGACAUGCCUUGGAGGAAUUGCAUGGAUGAGAAUUGCAGAGAGGCUAAAGUUGGUGAGAGCACCAAGUUUCUGAGGGAAUCCCAAGAAGUCAAAAUGAGUAUCAAAGCUGUUUGGUUGUCAACUGGACUACAUCUGGAAUGAACUAAACCCAAGCACUGGGCACACCUGUGAGGGAUUUAUUUUUUUCUUAAUUAAACCAUUUGAAGUAGGAAGACCCACUUCUCAUCCAGAUCUUUGAGGUGAGAAGAAACAACUUUAACCUGAGCCACACCUUCUGCUGGCAGCCUGUGUACAGGACAUGGAAGAAGACAGUUUGCUCCCUUUGCCUGCUUGCUCUCUUGAUCUUGCUGGCAAGCUCACUCCUUCACUGACAUUAGAGCCUACUUUGGGAUUUCAGCAUAUACUGAAGACCAGCUGAGGCAUCCAGCCUCAUGAACCGAAC
rnacentral:lncRNA from 1 species